rnacentral:rRNA from 1 species
GGUUUUGCUUCGCGCUGAGGAGCGAAACGGAAAGAUGCGCGCAAGCUUAGAUCACUUACAGAUGGGCCUGCGGCGCAUUAGCUAGUUGGUGAGGUAAUGGCUCACCAAGGCAACGAUGACGUAGCCGACCUGAGAGGGUGACCGGCCACACUGGGACUGAGACACGGCCCAGACUCCUACGGGAGGCAGCAGUAGGGAAUUUUCCACAAUGGACGAAAGUCUGAUGGAGCAACGCCGCGUGAACGAUGAAGGCUUUCGGGUCGUAAAGUUCUGUUGUUAGGGAAGAAACAGUGCUAUUUAAAUAAGGUAGCACCUUGACGGUACCUAACGAGAAAGCCACGGCUAACUACGUGCCAGCAGCCGCGGUAAUACGUAGGUGGCAAGCGUUGUCCGGAAUUAUUGGGCGUAAAGCGCGCGCAGGUGGCUAUGUAAGUCUGAUGUUAAAGCCCGAGGCUCAACCUCGGUUCGCAUUGGAAACUGUGUAGCUUGAUCGUGCAGGAGAGGAAAGUGGUAUUCCACGUGUAGCGGUGAAAUGCGUAGAGAUGUGGAGGAACACCAGGUGGCGAAAGUCCCGACUUUCUGGCCUGUAACUGACACU